AGAGUACUCCCUCCGUCCGAAAAUACUUGUCAUUGAAAUGGAUGUAUCUAGAUGUAUUUUAGUUGUAGAUACAUCUAUUUUCAUUCAUUUUGAUGACAAGUAUUUCCGGACGGAGGGAGUACUUC
rnacentral:pre_miRNA from 1 species